UCCCAGUUCGGAUUGUAGUCUGCAACCCGACUACAUGAAGCUGGAAUCGCUAGUAAUUGCGGAUCAGAAUGCCGCGGUGAAUACGUUCCCGGGUCUUGUACACACCGCCCGUCACACCAUGGGAGUCGGAAAUGCCCGAAGUCUGUGACCCAACCAUUAAGGAGGGAGCAGCCGAAGGCAGGUCGGAUGACUGGGGUGAAGUCGUAACAAGGUACC
rnacentral:rRNA from 1 species